rnacentral:lncRNA from 1 species
CCCUCCGUGAGCCAGGACCAGGUCACAUCUCUCAGCCAAGUCUAGAAGCUCUGGCUAGAGGAGAGGAAGCGUGCAGAGGGUCCUCUGCCAAAGCUCCCUGCCUGGCCCGAGCCCGGGCAUGCUGGGAUUAGUGCAACACCGCCCCAGUGUGCCUCCUCUGCCUUCUAUCAUGCCAGUUUAAAAGCAAGAAGACUCCCCCUUCACAUCCUGAGGAAAUCCCCUUCCUGGUGACCAACUGAUGCAAUGAAAGUUUGAAAAGUUCUUCAUUUUCUAGAAGUUCUUGAAUAAACAUGGACUUACUAAAUGCAGAGUCUGAUGAUGGACAGAGUUUCAAGGGGUCACUUUCAAAACAUUUAAUUAAUUUAUUUAUGUAGAGACAGGGUCUCGCUCUGUCGCCCAGGCUGGAGUGCAGUGGUACAACCUCAGCUCACUGCAACCUCUGCCACCUCCCAGGUUCAAGCGAUUCUCAUGCUUCAGCCUCCUGAGUAGCUGGGAUUACAGGCAUGAGCCACCACGCCCAGCCAUUUUCAAAACACUGCUCCUGCAUACAAACCACUCAGAGGCCACUGCCCUUGGUUCUGUGAUGGCUCUGAGCCCAUGCCAUCACAUCUGAUGGACCCCAGAGAGCUGAGCCGUGGUUUAAGAUGGGGUCAUGCGCUGGUCAUUCCCACAGUCUUGAGUAUCUCCAAAAUCCCAAAGUGAUAUUUCACUUUCGGACCCUGAAAGUUUGGAGAGCUGGUUUCUUGCCUUAAUUUAAGCUCUCUGAGAAUGUCCCCUGUAGGGAGAAGCCUCCAGGAACUCAGAAUAGAACUCGUUCCCACUCAUUUUCCUUGCUCCACCAAUCUGACGCCUGACAGAUGUCACCACUGCCUGAAGGAUCCUGUCCCCAGGCCAGGGCAGAAUGGGCAUUGCCUUUGACUCUCCCCUUCAGACUCCCCUCCCACCGGCCUCCUGUGUAGUCAGAGAACCCACUGCCCAUCGCCUCCUGCUGCUGCUUUGAGGUUGAGGUCCUGGCUUGAGCAGUUACCUUGCUGGAGAAGAGGAGCCCCUGCCAUCUGGGGAGCACUGUCCCUGCUCGUGAUCUGUAACAGUGGGGCGCUUUUUCACACCCCUUAUCUCACGGCUUGCUUCCAGCCCCCAUCAAUCCUGUGCCUCAUGUGAGGUGAGCCCCAGAGAAACUUAAAUUGCUUGUACUGAAGUUGCCAAAAACCAAAAGUUGCCCGUUGUCAUUUUUAAGACUGUGCCCUGAACACACCUCUGCCCAUGCGCCAUGGAGCAUGUGUUAGGUGCCUGCCGUGGGUCAGGCACUUGAUUCUCAAAACACUGCCGAGAAGCUCUUACCAACGUGACAGUUGAGGCUGAGAGAGGUUCAUGAGCUUGCUCAAGGCCACGGGUAGUAAUAAGAGGCAUGGCCUUGGUGCCAAGUGCCUCCCAAACAAACAGCCGGGGCCGUGGUCCUGCCUAAACUCUCACAUCCACGGCACCACGCUGGGCCCAGGCAACAGAGAUAAGGAGAGCCCUGGCUCUUGGGAUGGGGUCGCGCCGAUUCACAUGCUGUGCCACGGAGCCCCGGCUUCCAUCCAUGAUGUGCCCCUGUGGCGGGAUAAUUGGGAAACAACCUUUUUCUGAUUCCCAGAGAACUAAUGAGCUGCAAAAAGAGAUUAGACAGGGAAGAAUUGCUUUCGGGGAGAAGCCACUUACUCGGCUCGCCUUGGUUUUUGCUAACAACGUCUCCUUAAACUGCUGUCAAAUCUUUUUCUCCCUGUGUAGGAUUCAUCAAUCUUCGUAUGCAAAAGAACACCACUGCACUGCACUGCUAAAAAUUCACACAAUAAAAUGGACUUUAACUUGCA